rnacentral:pre_miRNA from 1 species
UUUGUACUCCCUCCAUCCCAAAAUUCUUGUCUUAAAUUUGUCUAAAUACGGAUGUAUCUAGUUACAUUUUAGUGUUAGAUACAUCCGUAUCUAAACAAAUGUAAGACAAGAAUUAUGGGACGGAGGGAAUACUAC